rnacentral:rRNA from 1 species
GACGAACGCUGGCGGCGUGCUUAACACAUGCAAGUCGAACGCUGAAGCCCUUUCGGGGGUGGAUGAGUGGCGAACGGGUGAGUAACACGUGGGUAAUCUGCCCUGCACUCUGGGAUAAGCCUUGGAAACGGGGUCUAAUACCGGAUAGGACACAUCGCCGCAUGGUGUGUGUGUGGAAAGUUCCGGCGGUGCAGGUUGAGCCCGCGGCCUAUCAGCUUGGUGGUGGGGUGAGGGCCUACCAAGGCGACGAGGGGUAGCCGGCCUGAGGAGGUGACCGGCCAGACUGGGACGGAGACACGGCCCAGACUCCUACGGGAGGCAGCAGUGGGGAAUCUUGCGCAAUGGGCGAAAGCCUGACGCAGCAACGCCGCGUGGGGGAUGACGGCCUUCGGGUUGUAAACCUCUUUCGACCGGGACGAAGGGUGACUGACGGUACCGGUAGAAGAAGCACCGGCUAACUACGUGCCAGCAGCCGCCGUAA